CGCGGGGUAGAGCAGUGGUAGCUCGUGAGGCUCAUAAUCUCAAGGUCCUAGGUUCGAAUCCUAGCCCCGCAA
rfam:Microgenomates (Daviesbacteria) bacterium GW2011_GWA2_38_24 TS86_C0009, whole genome shotgun sequence.